rnacentral:sRNA from 1 species
AAGUUACACUCACCCAGAGUUGCUCUGCCGGUCAGAGGCAGAGCUGGGCCAAUGGGCAGUAUUCCUCUCUAAUAACGAAGGGCGUCAGGUCAAUAUUUUAGCACCUUUUGAGAGUAGUAAUUGGAUUACUCAGGCCACCAACAGGGAUGAAUUUCAAAUUGAUGAAACUUUGAUACAAUAUGAAGGGUCUUUUACCUUCCUACUUAUUCAGUAAAGGACCAAACUCUUACCCAGGAUCUACUGGAGCAGCUGUUGGAGCCCAUGACGCCUAUCGGGAUGCAAAAGAGAAGCGCUCUAAAAGCCAGGAUGCAGAUUCACCUGGAAGUUCUGGGGCCCCUGAAAACUUGACAUUCAAGGAACGCCAGCGUCUUUUUUCACAAGGUCAAGAUGUAUCCAAUAAAGUGAAAGCUUCUCGUAAAUUAA